rnacentral:rRNA from 1 species
UUGAACGCUGGCGGCAGGCCUAACACAUGCAAGUCGAGCGGAUGAAGGGAGCUUGCUCCUGGAUUCAGCGGCGGACGGGUGAGUAAUGCCUAGGAAUCUGCCUGGUAGUGGGGGAUAACGUCCGGAAACGGGCGCGAAUACCGCAUACGUCCUGAGGGAGAAAGUGGGGGAUCUUCGGACCUCACGCUAUCAGAUGAGCCUAGGUCGGAUUAGCUAGUUGGUGGGGUAAAGGCCUACCAAGGCGACGAUCCGUAACUGGUCUGAGAGGAUGAUCAGUCACACUGGAACUGAGACACGGUCCAGACUCCUACGGGAGGCAGCAGUGGGGAAUAUUGGACAAUGGGCGAAAGCCUGAUCCAGCCAUGCCGCGUGUGUGAAGAAGGUCUUCGGAUUGUAAAGCACUUUAAGUUGGGAGGAAGGGCAGUAAGUUAAUACCUUGCUGUUUUGACGUUACCAACAGAAUAAGCACCGGCUAACUUCGCG